GAUGAACGCUGGCGGCGUGCCUAAUACAUGCAAGUCGAGCGAACAGACGAGGAACUUGCUCCUCUGACGUUAGCGGCGGACGGGUGAGUAACACGUGGAUAACCUACCUAUAAGACUGGGAUAACUUCGGGAAACCGGAGCUAAUACCGGAUCAUAUAUUGAACCGCAUGGUUCAAUAGUGAAAGACGGUUUUGCUGUCACUUAUAGAUGGAUCCGCGCCGCAUUAGCUAGUUGGUAAGGUAACGGCUUACCAAGGCAACGAUGCGUAGCCGACCUGAGAGGGUGAUCGGCCACACUGGAACUGAGACACGGUCCAGACUCCUACGGGAGGCAGCAGUAGGGAAUCUUCCGCAAAGGGCGAAAGCCUGACGGAGCAACGCCGCGUGAGUGAUGAAGGUCUUCGGAUCGUAAAACUCUGUUAUUAGGGAAGAAUAAAUGUGUAAGUAACUAUGCACGUCUUGACGGUACCUAAUCAGAAAGCCACGGCUAACUACGUG
rnacentral:rRNA from 1 species